rnacentral:rRNA from 1 species
UACGUAGGGUGCAAGCGUUGUCCGGAAUUAUUGGGCGUAAAGAGCUUGUAGGCGGUUUGUCGCGUCUGCUGUGAAAUUUCGGGGCUCAACCCCGAACUUGCAGUGGGUACGGGCAGACUAGAGUGUGGUAGGGGAGACUGGAAUUCCUGGUGUAGCGGUGAAAUGCACAGAUAUCAGGAGGAACACCAAUAGCGAAGGCAGCUCGCUGGGACGGUACUGACGCUGAGGCGCGAAAGCGUGGGGAGCGAACAGG